UACGUAGGGAGCAAGCGUUGUCCGGAAUCAUUGGGCGUAAAGCGCGCGUAGGUGGCCUCAUAAGUCCGCUGUGAAAGUCAAAGGCUCAACCUUUGAAAGCCGGUGGAUACUGUCGGGCUCGAGUCCGGAAGAGGCGAGUGGAAUUCCGUGGUGUAGCGGUGAAAUGACGCAGAUAUCAGGAGGAACACCGGUGGCGAAGGCGGGUCUCUGGGCCGAUACUGACGCUGAGGAGCGAAAGCGUGGGGAGCGAACAGG
rnacentral:rRNA from 1 species